AGGGGGAGGAGGACGGUGAUCGAAGCCCCUUCCUCAAGGGAGGUUUCUCGCCAGAAGGCUGCUGGCGGGGCAAGUGAGGAGCCCGGCCCCUCGUGGAGCAGAACUGCCCUCUUCGCCACCGUAAAGCCCCCCAUGCACGGUGCAGCGAGCGAUCGGUUCAUUACGAGAUCCCGCUUCUGUCAGAGGGCGCGGGCUGAGUGAGGCCGUACCUGGGGGAGGCCAUACCGGCGGCCGGGGCAGGCGGUGAGGAAAACUUCGUGCCUCCUCAAACAGCACAAAGCCUGAGGAGGGGGAGCUCCAUGCCGGUGCGGAGAGCGUCUUUCCGCUCAAGAGAAAUCACAGCCUGAAAGGAACGUGGUUGUGAGCGGACGGAAAGAGCCGCCGUAAACUGAACAGCACGUUUCAGAUCUGAAUUGGGCUCGAUUAUUUUGUGGUUCUUGUACGUAUAUGUAGUACAGGAACUGUAUCCUGUAAAAAAAAAAAAAAAAAAAAAAAGCGAACAAAAAACCCAGCUUACCUACAAGUUCAAGUCCGUGCAGGACCGAGCUGCCGCGGCUGCCCGCUCCCGGCGCGGGACGCAGCUCCGACAUGCGCGGUUCGGAGAGAGCAUCGCUGGAGCUCAUCGGACUGCUCCUCCACAGCCUGGAAGUGGUCUUUUCAGCUAACACAGGUACAUCUCAGAAUGGUAUUUUGGUUUUGCCUGCUCAUUUCUGAACGGGUCCAAAGGGAACGUACACAAUUCUGAUUUCUAAUAAGUUCUGUAAGUUUUCAAUGUUUU
rnacentral:lncRNA from 1 species